UACGGAGGAUGCGAGCGUUAUCCGGAUUUAUUGGGUUUAAAGGUGCGUAGGCGGCCGAGUAAGUCAGCGGUGAAAUUUUGCAGCUUAACUGUAACAGUGCCGUUGAUACUGCAUGGCUAGGAUUUGGUUGCUGUGGGUGGAAUGUGUGGUGUAGCGGUGAAAUGCUUAGAUAUCACACAGAAUAUCAAUUGCGAAGGCAGCUCACAAAGCCAAGAUUGACGCUGAGGCACGAAAGUAGUGGGGAGUCAAA
rnacentral:rRNA from 1 species